GGGGGAUAGCCCGGCGAAAGCUGGGGUAAACCCGCACGGUCCAGUGUUUUCACCUGGUGAUACUGGUAAACAUUUAUGGGUAGAAGAGGGGCUUGCGUCUGAUUAGCUAGUUGGCGGGGUAACGGCCCACCAAGGCGAUGAUCAGUAGGGGUUCUGAGAGGAUUGGCCCCCACAUGGGUACUGAGAUACGGACCCAACUCCUACGGGAGGCAGCAGUAGGGAAUAUUGGGCAAUGGAGGCAACUCUGACCCAGCCAUGCCCGCGUGCAGGAUGAAGGCGCUCAGCGUUGUAA
rnacentral:rRNA from 1 species